GUCUCUGUGGCGCAAUUGGUUAGUGCAAUUGGUUAGCGCGUUCGGCUGUUGACCGAAAGGUUGGUGGUUCAAGCCCACCCAGGGAAG